AUGCAAACUUGGAUCUGCAGCCCCAGCUGUAAAAAUCUUACAGCUCUGAAAGUCUCUCCAGAGGUCUGAAGUAAAGGUGAAAUUACCUUUAAAUUGCUCCAUCUUGGACCUUUUGGCAUUUUCCUUUCAGAAGCACAGGCAGCUUCAUCCUGCCUCCCCCAACAGACUGCAACCUCUACAGCAGGGAGAGAAAUUCCAAAUCACAAAAGAUGGCAUGGAGCACCAAAGAGAUCCAAAUCAGUUAUACAGCAGCCAGUGCAGAUGCCCAUACCAAAGCAAUUACUGCAUGGGAGAUGCCGACUGGCUGGAAGAACCUGUUCAUUCUGGGCCUGGAAUGGAGUCUGUGAGGAGCUCAGCUUCCUGGGGUGGAAGGAGGCGUCGCGCGGAGCCCACGUACAGCGCAGAGGAGCUGUGACACGAACUUUGGGGCUUUACAGGCCAAAGAGCUCUUGCACAAACUGGGAAGCUGGAGGCCCAGGCUUGGAUGUGUGUGCGCUUAAGAAAUCGAUUCAAAGCACAACCUGGAACAAAAAUUCCGCCUGAGUGUUGCGUUAAAAACCCACCCGAGGUGCCUGGAGGGGUUCCUGGCCCGUCACUUUUGAUUAUUGGGUCACUGUGGGUUUGGGGAAGCAAAGUCCCUUCUCUGCAGGGUGGCUGCCACCCACAUGCACUCCUGGUUGUUGGGGGAGCCUGAGGCCCAUGUGUGAUCAGCUCAAACUAGGAGUCUGGCCCUGCUGGUGAUGGGGAAGAUAAAAAAUGGGGAAAAAGCAGGGAGGAACAAGCCUGGAUGGGCUGGGUGAGUCGGGCACCCUCUGCUCUCUGGGGCAAGCAAGGCAUGAGCACUGCCCCAGCACAGCCCCUGCACGAGAAAAAAUUGGGGUUGGCAGCACACACAUCUCCUUCCUUCUGAACCAACACCCAGGCACCUCCAGAAGGUUCCCCAGGCUCUCUGUAAGGCGUGACUCCUUCCCAGGAGGCAGCAUCCCUGCAGAGAGCUGAGGAGGGAGCCACAAUAACAACAGCUGACCCCAGGGCUUGGGCAGGAUGCUUGGCAAAGGUCCCAGUCUGGCCAGCAGAAGCCCUGGGGCAGGGUCCUGAGCCUCAGGGUCUUGUGGUGUAGCUGCUGGGCCGCACAGAAGGCUUUUCCACCUCUGCCAGCACACUGUGCUGACUCUAGGCUGGGACUGUCUGGGAUGUGGGUAAUGGAAAUCUUUCCUUGCUGUCAUGAAGUCAUCCUUCAUCUGAAAUCCUCAAGAGUGGCUGUGUUUUGGUGAGCCCAGGCACGGGUCUGUGGGAGCAGCCCACGCUCCUGCCAGGAGGAUGCCGUGUUCUCCUCAGGGCUCUGGAGCUGUGCUCAGCCCUGCUCUGGGACAGGAAGCCCACAGACACUCGGGAGCAUUGCCUUAGAAUCCAGACAAAACCCCCAGAGAUGCCAGACCCCCAACAACCUGGCACAAAGCCCUGGGAACCUGGGAUUAAAACAGGGAUAACAAGGCUUAGGGGUGCUUGAGGAUGCUGCCAUCUUUCAGACACUCCAUGGGCCAUCCUUUUUAAUUUAUUUCUUCAUUUACUUUUCAGAGGGAUUUCUCAGCAUCAGAGCAACACGAGACUCUUGAGGGCUGCAUUUUGGAAAAAAAUGUAUGGAAACAUUUUCAUACUUUCCAAAACAAAAGAUGCUAAGGGGUUUGUUACUAAGGGAACAUUCCUCCACUGGCUUUCCAGAGGAUGGGAUUUCUGAGUUUCCUUAGCGCCGUUCACGGCUUCUUUAGGAGGGCAUUGGGUCUGACUCUGAGAGGAAUGGCCUUUGAACUCAGUGGUAGCUUAAAUGCAGUGUGUGAAAUCCUGGCCCCACGGAAAGCACCAGCAAGUGAGAUCAGGAGCUCGGGCACGGUGCGUUGGCUGGCAUUGCUGGGGCCUCCUGGUGGGGUAAGGGAUCUGCUCUGAGCCAAAAUCUUAGCAGGCAUGACCAGAGACUGCUGUGCUUCCAUGUCUCCAGCGGCUGGGAGGCACAGCUGGAAUGGAGAACAAAGCCAUUUCUGAAGAAGGGAUGUUUAGACUGAUAUAAGAGUUGAAGAAGCAUUUUGCAGCAGUCUGAAAUAAAUCUGAGAGAGGGGGUUUUCA
rnacentral:lncRNA from 1 species